CAGGAGGGGGAUAACGGCUGGAAACGGCCGCUAAUACCCCAUAUGCCGAGAGGUGAAAUGAAUUUCGCCUGAGGAUGAGCCCGCGUCUGAUUAGCUAGUUGGUGUGGUAAUGGCUCACCAAGGCUUCGAUCAGUAGCUGGUCUGAGAGGAUGAUCAGCCACACUGGGACUGAGACACGGCCCAGACUCCUACGGGAGGCAGCAGUGGGGAAUUUUCCGCAAUGGGCGAAAGCCUGACGGAGCAACGCCGCGUGAGGGAUGAAGGCCUCUGGGCUGUAAACCUCUUUUUUCAAGGAAGAAGACCUGACGGUACUUGAAGAAUAAGCCACGGCUAAUUCCGUGCCAGCAGCCGCGGUAAUACGGGAGUGGCAAGCGUUAUCCGGAAUUAUUGGGCGUAAAGCGUCCGCAGGCGGCCCUGAAAGUCUGUCGUUAAAGCGUGGAGCUCAACUCCAUUUAAGCGAUGGAAACUACAGGGCUAGAGUGUGGUAGGGGCAGAGGGAAUUCCCGGUGUAGCGGUGAAAUGCGUAGAUAUCGGGAAGAACACCAGUGGCGAAGGCGCUCUGCUGGGCCAUAACUGACGCUCAUGGACGAAAGCCAGGGGAGCGAAAGGGAUUAGAUACCCCUGUAGUCCUGGCCGUAAACGAUGAACACUAGGUGUCGGGGGAAUCGACCCCCUCGGUGUCGUAGCCAACGCGUUAAGUGUUCCGCCUGGGGAGUACGCACGCAAGUGUGAAACUCAAAGGAAUUGACGGGGGCCCGCACAAGCGGUGGAGUAUGUGGUUUAAUUCGAUGCAACGCGAAGAACCUUACCAGGGUUUGACAUCCUGCGAAUCCCUUGGAAACGAGGGAGUGCCUUCGGGAGCGCAGAGACAGGUGGUGCAUGGCUGUCGUCAGCUCGUGUCGUGAGAUGUUGGGUUAAGUCCCGCAACGAGCGCAACCCACGUCGUUAGUUGCCAGCAUUCAGUUGGGCACUCUAGCGAGACCGCCGGUGAUAAACCGGAGGAAGGUGUGGAUGACGUCAAGUCAUCAUGCCCCUUACAUCCUGGGCUACACACGUACUACAAUGCUACGGACAAAGGGCAGCAAGCUCGCGAGAGUUAGCAAAUCCCAUAAACCGUGGCUCAGUUCAGAUCGUAGGCUGCAACUCGCCUACGUGAAGGAGGAAUCGCUAGUAAUCGCAGGUCAGCAUACUGCGGUGAAUACGUUCCCGGGCCUUGUACACACCGCCCGUCACACCAUGGAAGUUGGCCACGCCCGAAGUCGUUACUCCAACCC
rnacentral:rRNA from 1 species